CCCCCUAAGUUUUGUCUAGUGUCUGCUAAAACCACCCAGAAACGAAACGAAACGUGAAACUAUGAAUGAAACCCUCGUAAACGUAAUAUGUGGUUGAGUAGUCACUUAAGGAUUUCAGAAUCAUCGCAUCUCUAUCUCAAUUGAAGAACACAGGGGCUAUUUUUAGUUUUUUUACAUACUCAUCAUCUCAAUCUCAUUGCUCAAACCCUCAAACAUAAACUAAAAUCAGUUUUGUGAUUUGGAAAUUGAAAGACGGACGGACGACAAUGGCAGUUAAUCUUGUGGCUGGCUUAGAACUAUGGCAAUCAGAAAAUAUACAGUAAGUUGAUCACUGGUGGAUGUUAAUUAGGCAUGGCUAAGGUUAGAGACCGGACUGAAGACUUUAAAGAUGCUAUCAACAGUGGGGCUUUAUCUUUGGAUUUAACGAGGUUGGUCUUUUACCAGUGAGUGGUCAAUAUAUGUAAUUUCUUUUGUUGAGUUACUUUCGUUUGACGAUUGUUAGCUUGGUUUAUUAUAAUGUUGUUUGUGGUCAUUUGUAUCUGUUUAGUUCUAAAGAUGAUGAAAUAAAGUUAUGUUAUACCAGUGUCUA